rnacentral:rRNA from 1 species
GGGUUGACUGGUGGUAGCUAUCAGCACUAUACAGUGAAACUGCGAAUGGCUCAUUAAAUCAGUUAUCGUUUAUUUGAUAGUACCUUACUACUUGGAUAACCGUGGUAAUUCUAGAGCUAAUACAUGCUAAAAAUCCCGACCUCCGGAAGGGAUGUAUUUAUUAGAUAAAAAACCAAUGCCUUCGGGCUCCUUGGUGAUUCAUGAUAACUUAACGAAUCGCAUGGCCUUGCGCCGGCGAUGGUUCAUUCAAAUUUCUGCCCUAUCAACUUUCGAUGGUAGGAUAGUGGCCUACCAUGGUUUCAACGGGUAACGGGGAAUUAGGGUUCGAUUCCGGAGAGGGAGCCUGAGAAACGGCUACCACAUCCAAGGAAGGCAGCAGGCGCGCAAAUUACCCAAUCCCGAUUCGGGGAGGUAGUGACAAUAAAUACUGAUACAGGGCUCUUUUGGGUCUUGUAAUUGGAAUGAGUACAAUUUAAAUCCCUUAACGAGGAACAAUUGGAGGGCAAGUCUGGCCC